AGAAUAAAGAAGAAAGAAAGUGUUAUUCGUCCGUCCACACUUACGCGUUUUCAUCUUCUUCCUCCUAGAUUCGCUCCUCCCACUGUCUUUAAAUCACUAGCUUCGUUUCCUCUCUCUCUCUCUGUGGAGCAUAGCCGUUGGUCUACGCGGUAAUGGGAAGUUCAAGAGAUUUAGCGGUGGGAACUGUGGCGGUGGCCUCGCUGUUGACUGCGGCGAUGUUGGGGAAAGAGGCCUGAGCACUUCUGUCCUAUCCACUUGAACCGGGCCUGCUCGCCGGACUCAAGCAAACCUGUCUUGGCCUCUUACGGUACGUAACACUCCAAAAUCACACCCAUAUUUUUUAAAAUAAUACGUGAAAAUCGAUGUCUAUUAUUGGUUUACAUAUGAUGGAAUCAUUAUUAUCAUUAUUAUUACUCAAUUUAAAAAUAGUCAUGGUAGAAAUGACCGCUUGAAUGUGCAUGUGUUUAUAUAGUAUAAAUUAAAAUAUUUUAGUAAAAUUAUGGUUGUAAGCUAGAGUUGUUUUUUAGUGGUCUAUAACAUACUUUCAAAGUGAGAAGGGGACAUUUUGUUUUUUUACUGUGACACAUGGAAUAAAGAAUAAAGUGUCCUCUUUUAUAUAUCC